rnacentral:ncRNA from 2 species
ACUUUUAAUAUAUAUAUGAACUGUAUAACUUCUAGAAUAUGGCUAGAAGGUCUCUACCAGGAACCUUAAAAAUCCUGAUUACAGAAAAUGAAUUUAUUCGU